GUGACUGCGUACCUUUUGUAUAAUGGGUCAGCGACUUAUAUUCUGUAGCAAGGUUAACCGAAUAGGGGAGCCGGAGGGAAACCGAGUCUUAACCGGGCGUUAAGUUGCAGGGUAUAGACCCGAAACCCGGUGAUCUAGCCAUGGGCAGGUUGAAGGUUGGGUAACACUAACUGGAGGACCGAACCGACUAAUGUUGAAAAAUUAGCGGAUGACCUGUGGCUGGGGGUGAAAGGCCAAUCAAACCGGGAGAUAGCUGGUUCUCCCCGAAAGCUAUUUAGGUAGCGCCUCGUGAAUUCAUCUCCGGGGGUAGAGCACUGUUUCGGCUAGGGGGCCAUCCCGGCUUACCAACCCGAUGCAAACUGCGAAUACCGGAGAAUGUUAUCACGGGAGACACACGGCGGGUGCUAACGUCCGUCGUGAAGAGGGAAACAACCCAGACCGCCAGCUAAGGUCCCAAAGUCAUGGUUAAGUGGGAAACGAUGUGGGAAGGCCCAGACAGCCAGGAUGUUGGCUUAGAAGCAGCCAUCAUUUAAAGAAAGCGUAAUAGCUCACUGGUCGAGUCGGCCUGCGCGGAAGAUGUAACGGGGCUAAACCAUGCACCGAAGCUGCGGCAGCGACGCUUAUGCGUUGUUGGGUAGGGGAGCGUUCUGUAAGCCUGUGAAGGUGGCCUGUNACGUAUCACCCAAGACAACUUUACGGAGUUGACGAUUGACGGAGCGAAGCGACGUCAAAGCGUUCAUUAAAGUCGAGUUGGCUUAGGGAUACGUUCGUUGGGUAGGGGAGCGUUCUGUAAGCCUGCGAAGGUGGCCUGUGAGGGUUGCUGGAGGUAUCAGAAGUGCGAAUGCUGACAUAAGUAACGAUAAAGCGGGUGAAAAGCCCGCUCGCCGGAAGACCAAGGGUUCCUGUCCAACGUUAAUCGGGGCAGGGUGAGUCGACCCCUAAGGCGAGGCCGAAAGGCGUAGUCGAUGGGAAACGGGUUAAUAUUCCCGUACUUGGUGUUACUGCGAAGGGGGGACGGAGAAGGCUAUGUUGGCCNCGCUUAUGCGUUGUUGGGUAGGGGAGCGUUCUGUAAGCCUGUGAAGGUGGCCUGUGAGGGUUGCUGGAGGUAUCAGAAGUGCGAAUGCUGACAUAAGUAACGAUAAAGCGGGUGAAAAGCCCGCUCGCCGGAAGACCAAGGGUUCCUGUCCAACGUUAAUCGGGGCAGGGUGAGUCGACCCCUAAGGCGAGGCCGAAAGGCGUAGUCGAUGGGAAACGGGUUAAUAUUCCCGUACUUGGUGUUACUGCGAAGGGGGGACGGAGAAGGCUAUGUUGGCCGGGCGACGGUUGUCCCGGUUUAAGCGUGUAGGUGUGUGUUCCAGGUAAAUCCGGUUCACUUUAACACUGAGGCGUGAUGACGAGGCACUACGGUGCUGAAGCAACAAAUGCCCUGCUUCCAGGAAAAGCCUCUAAGCAUCAGGUAACAUCAAAUCGUACCCCAAACCGACACAGGUGGUCAGGUAGAGAAUACCAAGGCGCUUGAGAGAACUCGGGUGAAGGAACUAGGCAAAAUGGUGCCGUAACUUCGGGAGAAGGCACGCUGACAUGUAGGUGAAGCGGUUUACCCGUGGAGCUGAAAUCAGUCGAAGAUACCAGCUGGCUGCAACUGUUUAUUAAAAACACAGCACUGUGCAAACACGAAAGUGGACGUAUACGGUGUGACGCCUGCCCGGUGCCGGAAGGUUAAUUGAUGGGGUCAGCGCAAGCGAAGCUCCUGAUCGAAGC
rnacentral:rRNA from 1 species